rnacentral:rRNA from 1 species
AUUGAACGCUAGCGGGAUGCUUUACACAUGCCAGUCGAACGGCAGCGCGGACUUCGGUCUGGCGGCGAGUGGCGAACGGGUGAGUAAUGUAUCGGAACGUGCCCAGUAGCGGGGGAUAACUACGCGAAAGCGUAGCUAAUACCGCAUACGCCCUACGGGGGAAAGCAGGGGAUCGUAAGACCUUGCACUAUUGGAGCGGCCGAUAUCGGAUUAGCUAGUUGGUGAGGUAACGGCUCACCAAGGCGACGAUCCGUAGCUGGUUUGAGAGGACGACCAGCCACACUGGGACUGAGACACGGCCCAGACUCCUACGGGAGGCAGCAGUGGGGAAUUUUGGACAAUGGGGGCAAGCCUGAUCCAGCCAUCCCGCGUGUGCGAUGAAGGCCUUCGGGUUGUAAAGCACUUUUGGCAGGAAAGAAACGACGCGGGCUAAUACCCCGUGGAACUGACGGUACCUGCAGAAUAAGCACCGGCUAACUACGUG